rnacentral:rRNA from 1 species
CUUUUCUUUCCUCUUGCCUUUGCGGUGGGUAAGGGCAACGCCAGCCGCUGGCGACAGCGUCGAAACACCGCGCCACGCGAGCCCCCUUCCCCUUCCCCUUCCCACUCUUCCUCUACAUCCAUCUUCCACCUCCUGCGGCAGAGAUAGAGGGACGUAGCUGCGCCCUCCUCUGCUCCCCUGCGCUCGACGGCGCGUGCUUGGCGGCGCCCUCCCUGGCCCUCUUGUCAGCGUGCGCGAGCACAGUUGGUGAACGCGCCGCUGCCAACCGGCUCAGUGGGUUGCCCUUUGCCCCUUUCGGGGUAUGUUCUUCCCGACCCCUCGGCUUGCCGAUGCGUGUCGAGAUCAAGAGGAACGGCGCGGUACAGCAGCGGCGCUACUUUUUCGGCGAGCCCAAGGCCCUUCCCUGAAACUUUAGGCAUGUUUGCAAUUGGACAAAUGGUGUAUAACAAUGAUCAUCAUCUGUAAAUUGGACAAUCGGACAGCAUCAGCAGGAGGACAGCAACAUCAAUAUUUUCUCAUGCAUUACAGGUUUCCCAAUUGAUCAUUACACUGCAGUAAUUUCUUCUGAUGCCAAUUGUAAACAGACCAAAGAUAAGCAAGCAUGGCCAUGUCAGCAGAGGUGAUCGGUAGUAGCCAACAGUAGGAGCAGGGCGGGGACUCGAUCGGGCAGGCAGCAGCGGCAGCAGUAGCAGAGGUCUGCGUGGUCCUGAUGAAUGAAGCCAACAGUAAGAAAAGCCAACAGUCUUGACAGCAAAUAAGAAUGAAAAUUGUGAAUGACAGAUUAGUCUUGUCAUGAUUACACCUCAGGAGUAUCAGGUUUAAUUUGAUGACUUUUCCAAACUCCUCUUCCAAACUAUACUUAUAGAUCCAUCUAGGGCAAGGUGGCAAGAUUUCUCCAUGUGAUUUUGUGACAACAAUGUCCACAUGCUUUUAAUACUGGAAAAAAAGAGAUAUCUCAAUCCAAUGGGAAUAUGGUAUCACUUACUCUGUUGACAUGAAUUCCUUGUUGUGUGUGUGUGUUCCUUGUAAAACAUAGUGUGUGUGGCGAUGAUCUCACUCACUGGAUGGAUCCUUGUUUCCUUUCCUUGACACAAGCAAACCAAAUGAAAUGAAAACUUAUUUAUUUACAAUAAAAUCAAAACAAGGAAGCAAGGAAAGGUGAAGAUGGACUGCACUUUAGUUUCAUUUAUUGGAGAUUGUGUUCCUAAAUAAUCUCCAAAACUGAAGUUUCUCCACUAAAACUGAAAUUGAACUGCAGUUAUGUGAACAUACUCAGUACACCGGAAAACAUCAACAAUUUGUACAGAUUAUCUAGAUGCAAGAUGUAACAAUUUGGCUUUGUUGUUGUUGUUGUUGUUGUUGUUGUUGUUAUAUCUAGAUCAGUAAAUAAUGGUUCUUUUUAAGAUUAUAUUGGAGUAUUAAUUUGGAAUCAUUUGAGUUUAUUGUGUAUGUUUGUGUCAUGUUCAGGCUAGGUUACUCAUUUGAUAUUCAACACAGACAACUCUCUAGUUUAUCUUUUGUCACUCCAUUAGAGAGAACAUUUACUCCAAAUUUCUGAACUUUAAUGAUA